rnacentral:lncRNA from 1 species
AAAUCUCCUAACUCUGUUCCUCUCCCUCUGGUUUCCAUGGUGAUCUAGAGACUGACACUGGUUAAAUAGCUUUGUCCCGAGACCUCGUUACGGAUAGUUACAUCAUGGUUGGUACAGGGUGCGGGAGAAAUCCUCGUUCUCCCCGCAGAAAUACUGACAUUCUAUCGGACAUGGUUCUUUCAUAAACUAGGUCUAUAUGUCAUAAAACAAAACGCAGUUAUUUUACAGUAAUUCCGGAAUAUACACUACUAUCGUGCGUAUCAUCUGUUGUGGAUACAGAAACAUUGUGCCAGUAGAAAAUUACAAUCUGCCCUCAAGGAAGUUAUCAUGAGGUGUGAGAGAGCCAUGCGUCGUGGUGGUGGUGGUGGCAGGGGGCUGUGCCAGGGCAGUGAGGCCCAAAGGAGAGAGGAGCACAGAGCUCAGGCUCGCCUGCAGGGGGGAUUACAGAGACUGGAGCAGGCCACGAGCUACCACCUCAACACACUCACCACAGAACAACGAAGAUUACACAGAGACCUGCUCAACAUCAGGACCGGUAACCCUUGGAGGAGGAGCCUUCACCCUAUGGUGUCGCGACCUGUCAACCCUGACCCCUCCCAUCUCUUCAUGCCCUGCAGGACUACCCUACCCACAAUCCCACGGGCCACCAGAGACCCAAAGAAACACAGGUCAGUGAAAGCUGUGUGUGGGGGAGUGUCUGGUCUGGCUGCACUCCAGGCUCGGGUCCAUGACUUCCUCUGCAGCUCUGCAGACCCACAGAGACACGGGGCAGAGAGCUCAGUGGCGCCACUCUGCCUGCCAGACCUCAAACUGCAGCCUGCAGCAGAAUUGACCAGCACUGGGCUGAGGGAGAAAGGGGAAGCGGAAGGGAGGGAGGGGAGAGCUGAGAGGGAGAGAGAAGAUGUGAGGGGGAGAGAGUGGAGGGCAACGCGAAAGAAGGAGGAAGAGAAUGGGAGGACAGAGAGAGACAGAGAGAAAGAGGAGUCUUAUCCUCUCCCUCCUCCCCCCUCCGACUUCCUCGCUGCUGAUGGUCGGCCCAGAACGCUCCACCUCCUGCCUGAUUUCAACCAAUCGCUGGCCGAGGCUCGUAAAGCUCGCUACAUCCGUUACCGAGGUCGACCCCCCUGCGAGAGGGAGCUAUCAAUCACUGAGAUAUUUGCCAGGGGCAACACAGGUUCCAUCCACAGAUUCUGAAAAGAGAGUAACCCUGUAAGACAGAACACAUCCUGUGAGUGUGGCUAGUAGUGUGUGACUUUUCUUUUAACCUGGGCCCUCUGCGCAUGUGUUAGUCCAUUAAGCAAAAGCAUUAGUAUUUUCUUGGGGAGCUAUAGCAAGUCUUCAGGUUUCAGGCAAGGUUACUCAUCAUGCAAGCGUGGUUCACCAAACCACUUCCGUUAUAUCAUGGACACCUCCAUAACCAUUAGAUCCAUUCUAACCUACUUUGUUUGGACUACAUUGUGUCAUACUGAACAGGGCUUUGGUCUCUGAUACACCUGUUCUGUGCCAAACUGACAAUGCAUCUUAUUCAGUGUUUCUAUUUUAUUAGGCAAGUCAGUUAAGAACAAAUUCUUAUUUACAAUGACAGCCUACCAGGGAACAGUGGGGUAACUGCCUUGUACAGGGGCAGAAUGACUGAUUUUUACCUUGGGGAUUCAAUCCAGCAACCUUUCUGUUACUGGCCCAAUGCUCUAACCACUAGGCUACCUGUCACCCUGUGAAUGUAGCAUUUGAGAUCUGCUCAAUGUGAAUAUCUUUUGUGUUAAAUCAUGUACCUGAUUGAAAUUCUCAAUGUAUGUAAAGUAUAAUGUUUAAAACUGUUGGCUUAUGAAUCAUGAUUUAUCGUAAUAAAAUAGAGGCCAUGAGGUGGUUGCAUCAGUGCCUCUGUAGUGUGUGUGUGAGGAGAACGCCCCCUGGC